UUACUGCGAAGGGGGGACGGAGAAGGCUAUGUUGGCCGGGCGACGGUUGUCCCGGUUUAAGCGUGUAGGCUGGUUUUCCAGGCAAAUCCGGAAAAUCAAGGCUGAGGCGUGAUGACGAGGCACUACGGUGCUGAAGCAACAAAUGCCCUGCUUCCAGGAAAAGCCUCUAAGCAUCAGGUAACAUCAAAUCGUACCCCAAACCGACACAGGUGGUCAGGUAGAGAAUACCAAGGCGCUUGAGAGAACUCGGGUGAAGGAACUAGGCAAAAUGGUGCCGUAACUUCGGGAGAAGGCACGCUGAUAUGUAGGUGAAGUCCCUUGCGGAUGGAGCUGAAAUCAGUCGAAGAUACCAGCUGGCUGCAACUGUUUAUUAAAAACACAGCACUGUGCAAACACGAAAGUGGACGUAUACGGUGUGACGCCUGCCCGGUGCCGGAAGGUUAAUUGAUGGGGUCAGCGCAAGCGAAGCUCUUGAUCGAAGCCCCGGUAAACGGCGGCCGUAACUAUAACGGUCCUAAGGUAGCGAAAUUCCUUGUCGGGUAAGUUCCGACCUGCACGAAUGGCGUAAUGAUGGCCAGGCUGUCUCCACCCGAGACUCAGUGAAAUUGAACUCGCUGUGAAGAUGCAGUGUACCCGCGGCAAGACGGAAAGACCCCGUGAACCUUUACUAUAGCUUGACACUGAACAUUGAGCCUUGAUGUGUAGGAUAGGUGGGAGGCUUUGAAGUGUGGACGCCAGUCUGCAUGGAGCCGGCCUUGAAAUACCACCCUUUAAUGUUUGAUGUUCUAACGUGGACCCGUGAUCCGGGUUGCGGACAGUGUCUGGUGGGUAGUUUGACUGGGGCGGUCUCCUCCUAAAGAGUAACGGAGGAGCACGAAGGUUGGCUAAUCCUGGUCGGACAUCAGGAGGUUAGUGCAAUGGCAUAAGCCAGCUUGACUGCGAGCGUGACGGCGCGAGCAGGUGCGAAAGCAGGUCAUAGUGAUCCGGUGGUUCUGAAUGGAAGGGCCAUCGCUCAACGGAUAAAAGGUACUCCGGGGAUAACAGGCUGAUACCGCCCAAGAGUUCAUAUCGACGGCGGUGUUUGGCACCUCGAUGUCGGCUCAUCACAUCCUGGGGCUGAAGUAGGUCCCAAGGGUAUGGCUGUUCGCCAUUUAAAGUGGUACGCGAGCUGGGUUUAGAACGUCGUGAGACAGUUCGGUCCCUAUCUGCCGUGGGCGCUGGAGAACUGAGGGGGGCUGCUCCUAGUACGAGAGGACCGGAGUGGACGCAUCACUGGUGUUCGGGUUGUCAUGCCAAUGGCACUGCCCGGUAGCUAAAUGCGGAAGAGAUAAGUGCUGAAAGCAUCUAAGCACGAAACUUGCCCCGAGAUGAGUUCUCCCUGACCCUUUAAGGGUCCUGAAGGAACGUUGAAGACGACGACGUUGAUAGGCCGGGUGUGUAAGCGCAGCGAUGCGUUGAGCUAA
rnacentral:rRNA from 1 species